UAGGGAAUAUUGGAAAUGGACGAAAGUCUGAUCUAGCAACACCGCGUGUGCGAAGAAAGCCUUCGGGUUGUAAAGCCCUUUUUGGAAGGAUUAGGAAUGACUGUACUUCCCGAAUAAGUCUCGGCUAACUACGUGCCAGCAGCCGCGGUAACACGUAGGAGGCAAACGUUAUCCGGAUUUACUGGGCGUAAAGCGCGUGUAGGUGGUUCGGUAAGUAGGGCGUGAAAGCUCCUGGCUCAACUUGGGGAGGCCGUUCGAAACUGCAGAGCUAGAGUAUGGUAGAGGGAGGUGGAAUUCCGGGUGUAGCGGUGGAAUGCGCAGAUAUCCGGAGGAACACCAGUGGCGAAAGCGGCCUCCUGGACCAUUCCUGACACUCAGACGCGAAAGCUAGGGUAGCAAACG
rnacentral:rRNA from 1 species